rnacentral:rRNA from 1 species
AGUCUGGUGCCAGCAGCCGCGGUAAUUCCAGCUCCAAAAGCGUAUAUUAAAGUUGUUGCAGUUAAAAAGCUCGUAGUUGGACUUGUGUUCUCGAACUGUUUUGUGAACAAAAAUUUGUUUAUAUUAUAGUUUGGUUCAAUUUGUGAGGGUCGUGUUCUGUCAUUAGGUUGUCGGUUAACGGUACUUGCAUCAUUUACUGUGAAAAAAUUAGAGUGUUUAAAGCAAAGCGUAAAUUCACUUUUGUGAAGUAAGCUUGAAUACAUUAGCAUGGAAUAAUAAGAUACGGCCUUGGUCUGUCUUGUUGGUUUACAACCAGGGUAAUAAUUAAUAGGGUCGGUUUGGGGGUAUUCAUAUUUCCGCGUCAGAGGUGAAAUUCUUGGAUCGCUGAAAGAUGAUCUUAGGCGAAAGCAUUUAUCAAGGAUGUUUUCAUUAAUCAAGAACGAAAGUUAAGGGAUCGAAGAUGAUUAGAUACCAUCGUAGUCUUAACCAUAAACUAUGCCGACUCGGGAUUGGUAAUGUUCAAUAAUGUCUUUAUCAGCACCGUAUGAGAAAUCAAAGUCUUUGGGUUCCGGGGGGAGUAUGGUCGCAAGGCUGAAACUUAAAGGAAUUGACGGAAGGGCACCACCAGGAGUGGAGCCUGCGGCUUAAUUUGACCCAACACGGGGAAACUUACCAGGUCCAGACAUAGGUAGGAUUGACAGAUUGAGAGCUCUUUCUUGAUUCUAUGGGUGGUGGUGCAUGGCCGUUCUUAGUUGGUGGAGUGAUUUGUCUGGUUAAUUCCGUUAACGAACGAGACCUCCGCGUGCUAAAUAAUUGUAAAUUAUGUAUUUUUAUGUAAUUUGUAGAUUACUUAGACGGACUUUUAGCGAUUAGCUAAAGGAAGUUGGAGGCAAUAACAGGUCUGUGAUGCCCUUAGAUGUCCUGGGCCGCACGCGCGCUACACUGAUGCGUUCAACGAGUUUAUCACCUUGACUGAUAAGUCUGGGUAAUCUUUUGAAUGCGCAUCGUGCUAGGGAUAGAUUAUUGAAAUUGUUAAUCUUGAACGAGGAAUUCCUAGUAAACGCAAGUCAUCAGCUUGCAUUGAUUACGUCCCUGCCCUUUGUACACACCGCCCGUCGCACCUACCGAUUGAAUGACUCGGUGAAAAGCGGGGAUGCUUUUGUUAUGCUUUAUUGCGUAAUAAAUAAUUAGAAUAACUGUU